UUCUUUCAACAGGCAGCAACAGUUUAUCAGACACCUCGGUAGCUUGCUAGACAAAUUAGCCGACCCAAUAAAGCUCUUUAGAUGCUUUCGUGUAUAUCAGCCACCGUGUUUUAAACCUACUUCUGUCGUCUAGUUAGUUAUCCGAUUUAAUUUCAUAUUUACGGGGUUGUAGUUAUUAGUCAACUAGCGGGCUGGCUAAGUUAGCAUUAGCCUAGCUAGCUAACAUCCCAGACCAUGAGCUCACUAAGCUACUCUCCUCCUGCGAAAGAAGAGGAGAUCUGCUGGACAGAGGAAGAGGGUUUGUGGGUGAACAUUGUCGUGAAAGAGGAAGAGGAGGCUGUCACAAUACAAAAACAAGUAGAGGGUGAAGCUGUUACAGUGAAAUAAGAGGAAGACGCGUUAAGAGUGAAAGAGGAGGGGGAUGUUAAAGUAAAAGGAGAGGAGGAUGGAGUGAAAGAGGAGGAGGGGGAGCUGACUGUUACAUCGAAAAAGGAGGAUAAGAAGAGGAGGAAACUGGAUAUCUGGGCCCGGUUUCCCAAACGCAUCUUAAGGCAUCCAAUGGUUCUAACUGUGAACUUAGCCAUAAGAUGGUUUUGAUUAAAGACUUAGUGACUGAGUUGUAGCCACGGUUUGGUUACCAAUAAGUACAAACAGUUAUGUUUUUGUUUUAUAUUUACAAAAUUAAAAUGACAUUUUAAAUGUUUCUUUACUCAAGUAUGACAGUUGGGUACUUUUUCCAACACUGUAUUUUUAUAACGAUCCCUUGCGACAUGCAGCCAUUCCUCUGGGUAACCCUGCUGUCUGAAACACUCAUCCAGACAUUCCUCUGAGUAACCCCGCUGUCUGAAACACUCAUCCAGCCAUUCCUCUGAGUAACCCCGCUGUCUGAAACACUCAUCCAGCCAUUCCUCUGGAUAACCCCGCUGUCUGAAACACUCAUCCAGCUAUUCCUCUGAGUAACCCAGCUGUCUGAAACACUCAUCCAGCCAUUCCUCUGGGUAACCUGGCUGUCUGAAACACUCAUCCAGCCAUUCCUAUGGGUAACCCCGCUGUCUGAAACACUCAUCCAGCCAUUCCUCUGGGUAACCCCGCUGUCUGAAACACUCAUCCAGCCAUUCCUCUGAGUAACCCCGCCGUCUGAAACACUCAUCCAGACAUCCGGCUUGUUUGUCAUAGUCACUCUGUGUACUACAAAUCCUGUGUAUGCGACUGUAUUGGCUGAUGGGGAGAUUCUUUUUUAGGGGUGCAGGGUGGAAGCUGUCUCCGCGUAACAGGGAAUUCCUGUCCGUCUGCUUCCUGUAUAGGUCUGUGCUAAAGCCACCCCCCUCCCUCUUAAUCAAAAUGUCCAGAUAACUUGUUUCAUACACAUCAAAGGUGAGGGUGAAUGUCAGAUGUUCACUGCUUGUAUUGAUGGAGUGGAAUCGAUUAAGUUCCUCUGCUGUGCCCUGGAAUAGAUGGAACACGUCAUCAAUGAAGCCUUUUUCAGAGCAUGAUGAGGUGCUAGAAUGGAUUGUUAGGGCUGUCAAUCACAUUCUUCUCUAUCAACCCCACAUACAGAUGCUAUUUUUUUUAACUACAAUGACCAUAAUGCACUGCGUGUCUACUUGCCUUGUCUGUUUAUUGUUUAUUUUACACCUGCUAUGUAACAGAAACAGAAGAAUGCAUGAUGGUAAAUGCUCUCUGGAAUCCUUCGGACAUCCCUACCUUAACCCCUAACCUUAACCAUUUUAAAUGUCAACUUCAACCGGCUAGGGACGUCCCAAGGAUGUAUCUACCUGAAAAUACAUUAUCUAAGUGUUUGAUCGUUGGUAUUCAGCAUUCAUAAAGCCUUAAUUACUUUAUUGAACUACUAAAAUAGUGAUUUUGUCAGACAGCAUAGACAGCAGCUCUACACUUUAUUGACUGACUGAUCCAUUCAUCCUUUCAUCCCUCCUCAGCCUUCCUCUCCUCUGAGGACCCAGUGAGGGUGGAGCUCAGUCAGAGAACUGUUGAGGGACUGGUUAGGAAGAACACUUCUACAGCCAGAGAGAGGCAGUCAAGAAAUGGAACGGCAAGGCCACAGAAAAUGACAUAAGCAGAGCUGUGGGAGAUCACCUCAGGCCCCUGAUAGAGCCGGGGGUGGUGUUUACCACUCCACCACUCCUUCAACAGGCUUGAAAAGUGGGAUUGAUCUGUUUGAUCCAUUCGUUUGUUUCUGUUUUCAGUAGUUGAAUCAUUUGACAUGGGAUUGCUACUGAUUUUCAUACUAAAGAGGGACCAAGAGUCUUUCGAUUGUUCGGUCAUUGGGUUCAUAUAUAAAUAUCUACCUCAACUUUAAGCAUCAGCUGUCAGAGCAGCUUACCGAUCAUUGCACCUGUACACAGCCCAUCUGUAAAUAGCCACACCCAACUACCUCAUCCCUGGAUUGUUAUUUAUUUUUGCUCCUUUGCAUCCCAGUAUCUCUACUUGCACAUUCAUCUUCUGCACAUCUUUCACUCCAGUGAUUGCUAAAUUGUAAUUAUUUCGCCACUAUGGCCUAUUUAUUGCCUUACCUCCUUACUCCAUUUGCACACACUGUAUAUAGAUUUUCUGUUGUGUUAUUGACUACUUUUGUUUAUCCCACGUGUAACUCAGUUUUGUUUUUGUCGCACUGCUUUGCUUUUUCUUCGCCAGGUCGCAGUUGUAAAUUGCUUUAUCUCAACUGGCCUAACUGGUUAAAUAAAGGUGAAAUAAAAAAUAA